rnacentral:rRNA from 1 species
GACGAACGCUGGCGGCGUGCCUAAUACAUGCAAGUAGAACGCUGAAGCGAGGAGCUUGCUCUUCUUGGAUGAGUUGCGAACGGGUGAGUAACGCGUAGGUAACCUGCCUUGUAGCGGGGGAUAACUAUUGGAAACGAUAGCUAAUACCGCAUAACAAUGGAUGACACAUGUCAUUUAUUUGAAAGGGGCAAUUGCUCCACUACAAGAUGGACCUGCGUUGUAUUAGCUAGUAGGUGAGGUAAUGGCUCACCUAGGCGACGAUACAUAGCCGACCUGAGAGGGUGAUCGGCCACACUGGGACUGAGACACGGCCCAGACUCCUACGGGAGGCAGCAGUAGGGAAUCUUCGGCAAUGGGGGCAACCCUGACCGAGCAACGCCGCGUGAGGGAAGAAGGGUUUCGGAUCGUAAAGCUCGGUUGUAAGUCAAGAACGGGUGUGAGAGUGGAAAGUUCACACUGUGACGGUAGCUGACCAGAAAGGGACGGCUAACUACGUG